ACAACUGGGUGACUCCAACGAAAGGUCUAUUUUCCUUUUCUUUUUCUUUGUUAUUUUAUACGAAAUAAAAUGAAAAAAAUAAAAGAAAAUAAAAACAUAAAUAAAUAAAUAAAACGGACACUGCGAAGUGAAACAAAGAAGAAAUCACCUAUGCAAAAACAAGUUUGAUUUCUCUAUUUUCUCUCUAUUUCUUUGCAUAUAUUUUUGACUGAAUCCCCC
rnacentral:lncRNA from 1 species